UACGUAGGGGGCGAGCGUUGUCCGGAUUUAUUGGGCGUAAAGCGCGUGUAGGCGGCUUGGUAGGUCUGCUGUGAAAACUCGGGGCUCAACCCCGAGACGUCGGUGGAAACCACCUGGCUAGAGUCCGGAAGAGGAGAGUGGAAUUCCCGGUGUAGCGGUGAAAUGCGCAGAUAUCAGGAGGAACACCAAUAGCGAAGGCAGCUCGCUGGGACGGUACUGACGCUAAGGCGCGAAAGCGUGGGGAGCGAACAGG
rnacentral:rRNA from 1 species